UGGGGAAUCUUGGACAAUGGGCGCAAGCCUGAUCCAGCCAUGCCGCGUGGAUGAUGAAGGCCUUAGGGUUGUAAAAUCCUUUCGCCGAGGACGAUAAUGACGGUACUCGGAGAAGAAGCUCCGGCUAACUUCGUGCCAGCAGCCGCGGUAAUACGAAGGGGGCUAGCGUUGUUCGGAUUUACUGGGCGUAAAGCGCGUGUAGGCGGGUCGUUAAGUUGGGGGUGAAAUCCCGAGGCUCAACCUCGGAACUGCCUUCAAAACUGGCGACCUGGACCUAAGUAGAGGCAAGUGGAAUUGCGGGUGUAGAGGUGAAAUUCGUAGAUAUUCGCAGGAACACCAGUGGCGAAGGCGACUUGCUGGACUUAUGGUGACGCUGAUGGACGAAAGCGUGGGUAGCGAACAGGAUUAGAUACCCCCGUAGUCCCUGAGCGGGCUGGCAAGGCGCAU
rnacentral:rRNA from 1 species